ACAAAUGUAAUCCAAUUACCAACCACACUGUGCACUGUUAACGUAUGCUUUGGUAGGGAGUGAAAUGGCGGGAGCCUCCGGGCGCCAGUCUUUCGAUCUGCCAGAGUUUUUUAAAUACUAAACAAACAAACGUCUUAUUAUCUGACUGAACUUCAUUUAAACAAAUGAAAAUA
rnacentral:misc_RNA from 1 species